ensembl:lncRNA
AGAGAGUCCAGUGUGUUCAUGCUAAAGAGUGCCUUUGUGUGAUUUAACAUCUUGCUUUACAUGUUUACUUUAUUCAAAUCAACUCUGUAAAUGAAUGGAGGAAAACCUACAGGUACACCAAGGAAGACCUCAAAAGCUUUCAGGACUGGGCGUGAAGGGAAGUUCCCUGGAUGAAUUUACAUAUAGAAAAGCCAAACCAGCACUAACACCUAAACCGAAGAGAAGAAGGUUGCAGAGGGCUAAAGAGAAGCGAUCAUGGAGUGUUGAUGACAGAGGUAUGAAAGAGAUAUUCAGUGAUGAAUCACCAGUAACGUAUCGCAAUGAGUGCAUUGGUACAAACCCCUAAAAAACCUUCAGGCGAAUCAGAUUCGAGAAUUUAACAGCGCUAUGUUGUAAUAUGUCUUCCUUUUUUUUUUAUUUAUUUAUUUUUUAAAUUUUAUUUAUUUAUUUCUUUCUUUUUACGAAUGGUAAUUGGGAAAAUCACAGAUGGGAAAUAAUACUCGUGAUACUCUUGUCGACCGUCAGACGAAUUAAAUCCAAAUCAUGUGCAAAGUACAAGUGUCUGUUCUGCGACCGACAUUCUUGGCAGAAGCACUGGAAAAAGACUCCGGUUGAGAGCAGUGGACAUUUGUUUCAUGAUUGAAAAACAAAUUGGGGGUAACAAGUUUUUGGCAACAUAAAAGAUUGCUUCAUUUCAUUCUGCGGAAGGCAGCGAGCAUCACAACGAUAAAAAAAUAAAUAAAUACACAAACUAAAUAACUAACACGGCCCGAGCAAUCAGGGUUUUAAAGCACUGUUGUGAAAUGGGAAGAUUGCAAUGUCUGAUGUAAUAUUUACACAAUAAUGAGAGUGACGUUAUCCAGUGAAGCUCCAGGAACCACAAUAUGUUCACAGCUUACUAUCAGACCGUGAAGAUGGAGAGAAACGCUUUAUGUGAUUCCACAACCGUGGUGCCGCUUUAUGAGUCUCGGUAAUAUUACGUUCACAAAUAUGGAUGUAAAGUAAAUGUAAAAAGACAUUUUAAACACAAAUAAAGAGUCUUUCACAACAACCUAGGAGCAUAUUUCAGAGAGAGAACUGUCCCAGCCUACUAGAACUAUACUUUAUCUUCAAAUAUAAUGUUAUAUAAAGCCUUAUAGUGUAUUAUGAGUGUUUAAAUUUAAUGUUGAAAUCCUUUUAUUUAUUUAUUUAUUUAUUUAUUAUUUAUUUAUUUAUUUUUUAAAAAGGUCAUAAUCAUGGAAUCUCG